rnacentral:rRNA from 1 species
GACAGAGGGUGCAAGCGUUGUCCGGAUUUAUUGGGCGUAAAGAGCUCGUAGGCGGCUUGUCGCGUCGACUGUGAAAUCCCGCGGCUCAACUGCGGGUCUGCAGUCGAUACGGGCAGGCUAGAGUUCGGUAGGGGAGACUGGAAUUCCUGGUGUAGCGGUGAAAUGUGCAGAUAUCAGGAGGAACACCGGUGGCGAAGGCGGGUCUCUGGGCCGAUACUGACGCUGAGGUGCGAAAGCGUGGGGAGCAAACAGG